ensembl:lncRNA LOC120095183 uncharacterized LOC120095183
GUGGGGGGACUCUCCAGGGACACCAUGCGUCACAGAGCAGCGAAGAGGGGGGUGGUGAAGGCAGGCAUGGGCAGGUAGGAGAAUGUCACCCUGUCACUGACAUCAUAGGGCAGAAGUGGGGAAUCAAAAGAACAGAGGUCAAGGCAUGGUAAGGGUCAGGUGACUGCCACGCCCUCCUCCCCUCCGGGCUCAGGGGGAUCGGUGAGUUCCUUAAGUGGAUUUGCAAUGAGUUUCUGAAGAAAAGGUCAACUUCGAGGAUUUGCGUUACUCCUGAAAGGGCAGGGCUGCAGACACUCAGAUUCAGCAAGAUGAAGGGACUUUUCCCAAGGAUCUCUGCAGCAGGACCUCCCCAUUGGCUGUUUCCUUUGUGGAGGGUUGGUACCGCCCAGCAAGGAGCUGGGGACCGAACCCAGGGCUUUGCGCUUGCUAGGCAAGUGUUCUACCACUGAGCUAAAUCCCCAACCCCCAAUGCAAAUCUGACCAACCAAGCUUCUGCUGCCCUGCCUUCCUUGCCUGGUAGACAACGGAUGGAUGCUAAGACCCCCUUGACCAUACACUGAAAUAAAUCCUUGCUUCCCUUAGGGGACAUUUGUCCGGUCUUUUAUUAUAGCAACCAGAAAGUAAUAGGAACUUUAUUAGUGAUGAUUUUUCUCGUGAAACCCUUGGUAGGA